UUCCUACGGGACGCAGCAGUGGGGGAUAUUGCACAAUGGGGGGAACCCUGAUGCAGCGACGCCGCGUGGGCGAUGGAGUGCUUCGGCAUGUAAAGCCCUAUCAGCAGGGAAGAAAAUGACGGUACCUGACUAAGAAGCCCCGGCUAAAUACGUGCCAGCAGCCGCGGUAAUACGUAUGGGGCAAGCGUUAUCCGGAUUUACUGGGUGUAAAGGGAGCGUAGACGGUGCAGCAAGUCUGAUGUGAAAGGUCGGGGCCCAACCCCGGGACUGCAUUGGAAACUGUUGAACUGGAGUACAGGAGAGGG
rnacentral:rRNA from 1 species